CUACUGGCCAUAGCAUAAGGCGGUGCAACUACAGUCAUGUAGCACGUAAUGACAUUUUGAUCGAUGAUGGACAGCAUAUACAAAAGUGGUCCCAUAACAUUAUAAUACUGUAUUUUUGUAUGUGUGUGUGUGUGUGAGACAGAGUCUCGCUGUGUCACCAGGAUGGAGUGCAGUGGCACAAUCUCGGCUCACUGCAACCUCCACCUCCCAAGUUCAAGUGAUUCUCCUGCCACAGCCUCCUGAGUAGCUGGGACUACAGGUGCAUGCCACCAUGCUCAGCUAAUUUUUGUAUUUUUGGUAGAGUCAGGGUUUUGCCAGGUUGGCCAGGAUGGUCUCAAUCUCUUGACCUUGUGAUCCACCUGCCUCAGCCUCCCAAAGUGCUGGGAUUAUAGGCGUGAGCCGCUGCACCUGGCCUAUGAUGCUGUAUUUUUACUGUAUCUGUUCUAUGCUUAGAUGUGUUUAGACACACAAAUAGUUGCCAUUGUGUUACAACUGCCUACAGUAUUCAGUGCAGCAACAUGCUUUACAGGUUUGUAACCUAGGAGCAAUAGUCUGCAGCAUAUACUGUACGUGUGUAGUAGGCUACACCAGGUAGAUUUGCGCAAAUGCACUCUAUGAUGCUCACAUGGUGAAAUCGCCUAAUAAUGCAUUCCUCAGCUGCAUUCCUCAUCGAGUGAUGCACAGGUGUGGAACAUUUCCAUCAUUGUGGAAGUUCUAUUGGAUCACACUGGUCUAUACUUUUCCCAUUUCAUUAUACUGCUUCCCUUGCCCAUUCCCAAAUGAUAAGACACGGAGCCCUGUUCUCUAGAAGCUCACAGGCAACCAGGGAACCAAAGGUCUUUAAUACAAUGCAGAACUGUGCUGAGAUGCGUUAGAAAGAUGUGGAGAGCUUGCUGUGGGAGUUCAGCGGAGGAAACAAGUAUUUCCGGGAGAAAGUAACUUUAGUGGAACCUCGAAGAUGACAGGAUAGAGAAGAGAGUGCCAGGGGAGGCACGUGAACCUGAUGAAACAGGAUCAUUCCUUACUUUCCAGAAGAGAGAUUGUGGCUGGCCACUUGCUUCUCAGCUCUGUGAGUUCUCCCCAAAUUGAUUUAUUGAUUCAGUGCUUCUCAGCUCUGUGAGUCCUCUCCAAAUGGAUUUAUUGAUUCGGUGUAAUCCCAAUUGGAACCCCAGCAGGGUGUGUGUAUGUGUGUGUGUGUGUGUGUGUGUGUGUGUGUGUGCAUGCGUGCGUGCACGCGUGUGUGUGUGUACACUGGCAACUGUUAGUUGACUUUUUUUUUUUAGACGGAGUCUCACUCUAUCGCCCAGGCUGGAGUACAGCGGCGCAAUCUCGGCUCACUGCAACCUCUGCCUCCCAGGUUUAAGCAGUUCUCUGCCUCGGCCUCCAAAGUAGCUGGGAUUACAGGUGCAUGCCACCAUUCCUGAUUAAGUUUUAUAUUUUUAGUAGAGACAGGGUUUCACCAUGUUGGCCAGGCUGAUCUUGAACUCCUGACCUCGUGAUCCACCCAUCUCAGCCUCCCAAAGUGCUAGGAUUACAGGCGUAAGCCACCAUGCCUGGCCCUAGUUGGCCUCUUAAGUUUAUUUAUUUAUUAUUAUUAUUUUUUGAGAUGGAGUCUUGCUCUACUGUUCAGACUGGAGUGCAGUGGUGCAGUCUCAGCUCAGUGCAACCUUGGUCUCCUGGAUUCAAGCAAUUCUCCUGUCUCAGCAUCCUCAGUAGCUGGGACUAUAGGUGCCCACCACCAUGACUGGCUAAUUUUUGUAUUUUUAGUAGGGCUGCAGUUUCGCCAUGUUGGCCAGGCUGGUCUCAAACUCCUGACCUCAGGUCUCAAACUCCUGCCUCAGCCUCUGGAAGUGCUGGGAUUACAGACAUGAGCCACCAUACCUGGCUGAUUUGUUUAUUUAUUUGGUUUUAAAAUCAGGGCCUUGCUCUGUCCUCAGGCUGGAGUAUAGCGGUGCGAUCACAGAUUACUGCAGCCUCGAAUUCCUGUUCUCAAGUGACCCUCCCACUCUAGCCUACAGAGUAGCUGUAACUAUACACACCACCACACAUGGCUAAUGAUUUUAUUUUGUGUAGAGAUGGUGAUCUCACUAUGUUGCCCAGGCUGGUCUUGAACUCCUGGGUUCAAGUGAUCCUCCUGCCUCAGCCUCCCAAAGCAUUGGGAUUACAGCAUGAGCCACUGUGCCCAGCAUGAUUCCAGAAUUUAUAUGGAAAUGCACAAGAUCUAGACUAGCGAUGGUAUCAAAGAAAAACAACAAAGCUGGAGGACCUAUACUACUAGAGUUGAAACUUACUAUAAAGCUACAGCAAAUUAAGACCAGGUGGUUGUCAUGCAAGGUGAUAAAUAGACCAGCAGAAUAGUACAUAGGGGUUCAGAAACAGACCCUCAUAUACUAACAGACAGUCACCAGCUUUACAGCAGCGGUAACGCUAUAGUGCAGUGGGAAGCAGAUGGUCGUUUUAAUAAAUGGUCUUAGAAACUUUAAUUGCUGUAUAAAAGAAAAGGAACCCAUACCUCACACCAGAAAAAUCAGCUGGAAAUAGACCAUAGACUUAAAUUUGAGACAAAUGAAUCUUUUAGAAGGAAAUGUAGGAGAAUAUUUCAUGACCUUGGGAUAGGUGAAGAUUUCUUAAACAGAACACAAAAACCACUAAUUAGGGUUGGGCAACCUGCCUCAUGCCUCAUCCCAGCACUUUGAGAGGCUGAGACAGGGGGAUCACUUGAGCCCAGGAGUUUGAGACCAACCUGGGCAACAUGGCAAAACCCCAUCUCUAUAAAAAAUUAUCUUGGGAGGCUGAGGCAGGCAGAUCACAAGGUCAGGAGUUCUAGAUCAGCGUGGCCAACAUAGUGAAACUCUGUCUCUACCAAAAAUACAAAAAUUAGCAGGGCAUGUUGGCACAUGCCUGUAAUCUUAGCUACUCAGGAGGCUGAAGCAGGAGAAUUGCUUGAACCUGGGAGGCAGAGGUUGCAGUGAGUUGAGAUUGCGCCACUGCACUCCAGCCUUGGUGACAGAGUGAGACUCCAUCUCAAAAAAAAUUAUCUAGGCAUGGUGGUGCACACCUGUAGUCCCAGCUACUCCGGGCAGAGUGGGGAUGGGUUGAGCCUGGGAUGUCGAGUCUGCAAUGAACCAAGAUUGCAACCCUGCACUUCAGCCUGGGCAACAGAGUGAGACUGUCUCAAAAAAGAAAGAAAAGGAAAGAAAGAACUUAGAUCCCAAAGGUUCUAGGUGGGGAAAUUCUGAAGUUGUCAUCAUCCACAUGUGCAUAUUCACAUGGAGAUUAAAAAAAAAAAAAAACUCAAAAGACUUGUGGGCUGACAGGACAACUACAGAUUAAGAAUCAGUCCUUUUCAUUUGUUUGUUUGUUUGUGUUUGUUUGUUUAUAUGUUUAUGGAGAGAUGGUCUCAGUCACCCAGGCUGGAGUACAGUGACAUGAUAUAGCUCACUGUAACCUUGACCCCUUCUGCUGCAGCAAUCCUUCCACCUCAGCCUUCUGAGUAGCUUGGGACUACAGGCUCAUACCACCAUUCUUAGCUAAUUUUUAAAAAUGUUUUGUAGAGACAGGGUCUUGCUAUGUUGCCCAGGUUGGUCUCAAACUCUUGGGCUCAAGCAAUCCACCCACCUUGCCUCCUAAAAUGCCAAGACUAUACUGGCAUGAGUCACCACACCCGGCCUAGACUCAUAUAUGAUUUGCAAAUAUCUCAUCCCAUUCUGUGGGUUGACUACCCAAUAAUUAUAAUGAACAAAAGAGUUACACGGGCAUUUCGCAAAAAAGAAUAUAAAAAUGAACAAUAAACAUGAAAAGCUGCUCAAAAAUUUUUGUCAUCAGAGAAAUAUAAGUUAAAACCACAGAGAGGUGGGACGCGAUGGCUCAUGUUUGUAGUCCUAGAAUUUUUGGAGGUCAAGGUAGGUGGGUUACUUGAGCCCAGGACUUCAAGACCAUCCUGGGCAACGUGGGGAAAUCUUGUCUCUACUAAAAAUACAAAAAUUAGCUGGAUGUGGUAGUAUAUGCCUGGAGUCCCAGCUACUUGGAGGCUGAGGUGGGAGAAUCACCUGAGCCCAGGAGGUUGAGGCUGCAGUGGGCAGUGAUUGCACCACUGCUCUCCAGCCUAGGUGAUGGGAGUGAGACCCUGUCUAAAAAAAUAAAAUAGGCCAGGCAUGGUGGUUUACGCCUGUAAUCCCAGCACUUUGGGAGGCCGAGGCGGGUGGAUCACAAGGUCAAGAGAUCAAGACCAUCCUGGCCAACACGGUGAAACCCUGUCUCUAUGUUUAAAAAUAAAUAAAUAAACAAAUAAAAAAUAAACCAAAAAGAGAUAGCAUCACACACUCAUCCAGAAUGGCAACAGAAAAGGAACAAUUGGAACUCCUAUUUUUUUUGAUGGGAGCAUAUAUCAAUACAACCACUUUGAAAAAAUACUUGGCAGUGGUUACUAAAUCUAAACAUAUUGGCCCGUCGCGGUGGCUCACGCCUAUAAUCCCAGCACUUUGGGAGGCGGAGGCGGGUGGAUCACAAGGCCAAGAGAUCGAGACUGUCCUGGUCAACAUGGUCUACUAAAAAUACAAAAAUUAGCUGGGCAUGGUGGUGGGCACCUGUAAUCCCAGCUACUCAGGAGGCUGAGGCAGGAGAAUCACUUGAACCCAGAAGGCAGAGGUUGCAGUGAGCCAAGAUUGCCCCAUUGCACUCAAGCCUGGGCGACAGAGCAAGACUUUGUCUCCGCCCCCUUCCAAAAAGAAUGUUAUUUGCAGCCUUCUGCAUAAUUGCCUCAAGCUGGAAACAACCUAAAUAUCCAUCAACAUCUGAAGUUCAGAAACAGACAAAAUUAAUCUAUGCUGAUGGAAGUCAGAAUAGUGGUUUCCCUUAGGUGGCCACUGACUGAUAGGGUACACGAGGGAGCAUGCUGGGGUGCCAAAAAUGUUUCAUCUGUUGAUCAGGGAGGGUGGAUAUUGUGUGACUGUGAUAUAUGUGAAAAAUUCCUCCAGCUAUACAGCUGUCACCUUAUCAGAGAGGCCUUCCCUCACCACUUUAUUGGAAGUAGCAUUUUGCGUCCUACUGUCUUGCUGCCCUGAUCCUGCCUAAUUUCUCUUCAUAGUCAUCAUGACUACCUGUUAGUUGGCUCAGACUGCCACAACACAAUACUAUAAACUAGGUGCCUUUUUAAUUUUUUUUUUUUUUGAGACAAGGUCUGGCUCUAUUGCUUAGGCUGGAAUACAGUGGCUCACUACAACUUCUGCCUCCCAAGCCAUCCUCCCACCUGAGCCUCCCAAGUACCCCGGACUACAGGCGUGCACCACCAUGCCCAGUUCAUUUGUGUACUUUUUGUAGAGAUGGGGUUUUGCCAUGUUUCUCAGGCUGGUCUGAAACUCAGAAGCUCAAGCAAUCUGUCUUCCCACCCCUCAGGCCUCCCAAAGUGCUGGGAUUACAGGCCUGAGCCACUGUGCACAGCCAACUAGCUGGUUUAAACAACGUACAUUUAUUUUCUCACAGUUCUAGAGGCUGGGAAGUACAAGAUCAAGUUCUGGCUGAUUUGGUUUCUGGUGUGGUGUGGGCUCUUUCCUUGGCUUGCAGGGAGCCACCUUCUUGCUGUGUACUCACAUGACCUCUUCUCCAUAUGCUUGUGGGAGAGACAGCACUCUGGGAUUGCAUCUUAUAAAGCACUAGGGGGCAAUACAAGCAACACCUUGGAACAUUCUGCUGUUAGAAUUCCUGCCAUCAGAUUAGAGUUGACGCAGGAAGAUGAUUGCUCUCUGCUUUGGUUCUCCCACCUCUUCUGAAACUUUAAGCUCACAAAUUUGAGCCUUUUACCAAACUAGAGACAGAAACUUCCAUCAAAGGGAACAGGACUGGCUGGCUCAUGAAGUCUUGGAUCCAUUGCUUUUGAGUCUGUUGUGGACAAUGUACAUGGUUAGGGAGAUGGCAUGUGGCGAAUACAUUAUGAGUGACAAAUGGACAUCCCACAGGAGGAAAACUGAGGUGUAGACUUGGAUUUUGUUCAGAAGAGAAAAACGAUUUAGUAACACCAUCUUGCUAUGAUGUUGGGCUGAGAUCAGCAUGUGGUUGGAAGGUCCAUGGAGCCUGUGCAUAGAGAGGAGGACCUGUGGCCUGAACCCUAGGAGACCUGCACUGAAGUCCCAGAUUGUCCAGUGAAGUGCUGUGUGAUCCUGGGCAAGUUACUUCCCAAGUAGCUGGAAUUAAGGUGCCUGUACAAUUCAGCAGCAUUAAACACAUUCACAAUGUUGUGCAACCAUCA